rnacentral:rRNA from 1 species
GAUGAAGAACGUAGCGAAAUGCGAUACUUGGUGUGAAUUGCAGAAUCCCGUGAACCAUCGAGUCUUUGAACGCAAGUUGCGCCUGAAGCCAUUAGGCUAAAGGCACGUCUGCCUGGGCGUCACGU